UACGAAGGGUGCAAACGUUGCUCGGAAUUAUUGGGCGUAAAGCGCACGUAGGCGGCCUUGUAAGUCGGAUGUGAAAUCCCUCGGCUUAACCGAGGACGUGCAUCCGAAACUGUGAGGCUCGAGUAUGGAAGAGGGUCGCAGAAUUCCCGGUGUAGAGGUGAAAUUCGUAGAUAUCGGGAGGAAUACCAGUGGCGAAGGCGGCGACCUGGGCCAAUACUGACGCUGAGGUGCGAAAGCGUGGGGAGCAGACGGG
rnacentral:rRNA from 1 species